CCGCUGUCUCCAUUUCCAGUUUCUGACGCACACUAGGCACCCUGCGGCCGCUGUCUUCCAGCGACGCACCAGGCAAUCGAGGAGGAGACAUACCACCGCUCGGUCCCUGGGCGUGGACUAUAUAAAAAGCGAGGCCACCGCUCGGAAUACACUUCCGCAUCGUCGUCGUCUUCGUCUCGGAGUGUCCGCAGCAAGACCAGGUCGUCCAGUCCUCCUAUAUUGGAUUGCCCUUUUGUUUCGUACAGGGGCAUAUCAGAAGUCGAAGAAGUUUGCUGAAGCCAGUUCCCUUUAUUGUUCAAGUCAGAUGUUGGCUGGUUCAGAGCAUGGUUGUUGAAGGUUAUUUAUCUGUUGAAAAAAAUGGGAUUUGAUAACGAGUGCAUACCGAAUAUUCAGUCACUUCCUGGAGAAUAUUUUUGUCCUGUUUGUCGUCAGCUGGUCUACCCUAAUGAAGCUAUACAAACACAGUGCACUCAUCUUUAUUGCAAACCUUGCUUAACAUACAUUGUGAGCACCACAAGGGCUUGCCCUUAUGAUGGCUAUCUUGUGACAGAAGCAGAUGCGAAGCCCCUUAUAGAAUCAAACAAGUCAAUUGCUGAGGCUAUAGGACGUAUACCAGUGUAUUGUCUUUAUCACAGGAGUGGUUGCACAUGGCAGGGUUCCUUUUCUGAGUGCACAACACAUUGUACAAGUUGCCCUUAUGGCUCAUCCCCUGUUGUGUGCAAUAGGUGUGGGACACAGAUUGUUCACCGGCAAGUGCAGGAACAUGCUCAGAAUUGUCCAGGAACACAGCCUUUGCAACAGGAGGGUGGUCAGGCUCCAGCUACAUCAACAGCAGCCGUGGAACCAAACCAGGCUGUUGCUGCAAGUGCCCCACAAGCUGGUGGAACCACUAACCAAGCUGCUGCUGCUCAGACUGUCACGGAUCAGAGUCAGGCUUCUACGAUUGUUCAAUCCCAACCCUCUUCUGUGGUACCAACUCCAGAGCAGUGGUAUCAACAAUAUCAGCAAUACUAUCAACAAUAUCCUCAAUAUCAACAAUAUCACCAGCACUUUGUGCAAUAUGACCAAUAUCAGCAACAUGUUCAACAGUAUCAGCCACACUUGCAGACUCAACCUCAGGGGCAACCCAAUGCACAGUCAUAUUUACAGCCACAGCCUCAGCCUCAGCCUCAGCCUCAUUCACAUGGUCAGCCUCAAAUAGUUCCUCAUUUGCAGCAGACUCAUGUACAGGCUAAUGCUCAACCACAAGUGCACACACAUGGGCAACCACCGGCACAACCUGCUGUUCAUCAACAAUCUCAGGCCAACCAGCCACAGGCACAACCACAGCCACAGGCACAACCACAGCCACAGCCACAGACACAGUCGCAACUACAACCUCAGGCACAAUCACAGUUGCAAUCUGCAUCACAACAACCACAGGCCCAGGUGCAAGGACAGCCACAGGCACAGGCACUAGUGCAGCCUCAGCCACUGCCUCAGUCACAGCCACAGCCACAGCCACAGCCACAGCCUCAACCACUGCAUCAGGCUCAGCCUCAAUCUCAGCCUCAACCUCAGCCUCAGCUGCACUCACAACAAGCGCAACCGCAACCUCAGCCUCAUUUACUGCCACAGCAACAAGUUUUGCCUCAGCCUCAGUUACAGCCCCAUCCUCCUGCACAUUCUCAUGCUCAUCAGCAACACCCAUAUCCUCAACCCCAAGUCCAGGCUCAUCAGCACGCAUAUCCACAGCCUCAACCCUAUGGGCAUGUGCAGCAACAACUGCCUCCUGCUCAGCUACAGCAUCAGCAGUUUCCUCAUCAACAAGGUCAUGUUCAUCCGUAUCCACAAUCAAAUCUACAUCCUCAGCAUCAACCACAGAUGCAGCAUCCUCUGGCGGCUCAUCAGUCUUAUCCCCAAGCAAUCCAGACUCCUGUUCCACAACCCCAACAUCAGCAACAGGCUGUCCCAGUGCAUCUUCACCAGCAGAAUUCUUCAGUUCAACAGCAUUCUAUGCAGAUGCCUGUUCAACAGCAGCCACUAAACCAACCUCUUCCUCAUCAGAUGCCAGUACCUAAUCAAUUUCCUUCCCAGCAGAUGCGGCCUCAACAUCCUCCCUUGCAAUCUCAUGGAUCCAUGCAACACCACCAACAACCAGCCAUGACACCCAUGCAAGCUCAUCACCCGCAUGCCCCUCCACAGCAGCAGCCACAUAUGGCACCUCAGCAGUCUGCUCAACCGGUUCCUCAAGGGCAUGCUUACCCAGGCAUGCAACCGCCACCACAGCAACAGGUGCCAGUGACACAGUUCCAUCAACAGCCACAGGCGCAUUCCCAGCCUCCCCAGUUAUACCCUGGACUACCACCCAAAAUGGGGAACAACUACCAACAACAACAGGCCCCACCCUUAACAGCACAGCAGCCUUUGCGUCCACAUGGGCCUUCUGCUAUCCAACAGCAUCCUCCGGCACAGGUCCCAAUGAACCACAAUUUGCCUCCCUCACAGGCUACACCUCCACAACAAUUCCCAAAUGCUGCACAAGGAGCAGUUCCACAGCACCAUGUUGGCCGGCCUAUGCAAAAUCAUGGAGUGCAACAACAGCUCUUACAACCAAUUCCUGGUGGACUUCUCAUGGGACAGGAUGCACGUGGCCCCAUUAGGCCACUGUUGUCUAACACUGGCCAACAGUCUUCUCCAGGCCAAAAUAUGCCAAGGACAAAUCCUUCGCUCAUACCUGAACAGCAGCAACUCUCUUCCAUGCAACAUUCUUCCAGUCAGCUAGCUUCAGUCGCUUCUUCUGCAGGAUCACAAUCUGGUGCUACUCUCAAUCAGGCAAAUGUUGCAGCUACUUCGACGCUUGCUGACAUGAAGCAAGAAACCAUGCGGGAUCAAGCCACCGAGCCUCCUGCUUUACGUGUUAAAUCCUUUUCUGCAGAUGCUGCAGGAACCAACAAAUCAGAUUCUAAACAUGAUGAUGACAAUGGGUGUAAGGUGUCAAAAUCUUUGAACAGCGUAGACUCUUUGGAUGUCAAAGAGAAGGGAAGUUGUGAUGUUGCAGAUAAAAAACUGUUGUCUGUGGAGCAUACUGUUUCUGAGGAUUCUGAUUCUUCUUUGAUGCCUCAAAAGGAUGCUGAGCUACAUGGAUUUAGUGAUGGUAACCUAAAUGAGAAUGCUUCCUCAAAGGUGAAUGCUCCUGAGAAGCUGUUAGAACCUUCAGAUAUUGGUAAUCAGCCAGAUACAAAUGGAGUCAUACAGGGUGCCUUGAAGUAUGACAAGGAUACCCAAGGAGAGGAAAAGCAAGAGGUUCCCAUGGAUAGGGAAGAUCCUGAGCAUGCACUUGAUCUCACUCAAACAAAAGACAAUGAUAUUUAUAAAGAGAAGGAUGCAGAAGAUUCACAAAAAUCCCAGAAGUCUCAGGAGGUUAAUGGGUCUGCUCAUACUUUUUCGGCUCCUGAGAAAGAUUCAGAGUUAAACAAGUUAACUUCUGGGCCUCAGCCAGUGGAGGAUGCAGUUGGGGGGUCACAAGCUUUUCCAGGACGUGAUAGAAAUGGUGUUCUACCUCAGGGAACUGAAAGAAAUAAUUUUGUGUCUUCACAGCAGCAUGCAAUUGGUGGUUCUGAUAAAACCAUGUUGCAGCAUCAUCCACACAUCAUAGGUCCAAUGCACGAGCUGAAGGCACCACAAUCUGGUUUCUCAGAGAGGAGUUUGCUGCCACUUUCCCAGCACGUUCCUCCUCCUGAUGAAACACGUACAAUGAGCCACUUUGUCCGUCCGGAGCAGAGUCAGAUGCAAGCAAAUAGUUUUCCACAGCCUGCCCAUCCCUUUCCUGCACCUAAUGACAGGCAGUUUCAGCCAUUCCCUCUUCAGCAUGGCCCUCCUUAUGGCGAAAGGGGUAUGCAAGUUCAGCGGCCUCCAUUACAACAGCCCCUGGGGCCUAAUUUGGAUAGGAGGUUUCCAGAGCCACCACAUCAAGUUCCAGGUCAGGGGCAGUUCCCACCAAGUCAUAGGCCUCAAGGCCCUGGUCCAUUUGAAACCUUUUCCCAACAUGGACCACAACAAGUCAUGCCUGAUCAUUUUCAGCUGCCUGCUAAGCAGCAAGUUAUACCCCAUACUUCCUUAAGUAAUGAACCCAAUAACUUUUCUGGUCCACCACCGCCCUUUGGCAGAGUUGAAAGCUCCAUUCCUCCUCAUGGACAGGCCUUCCCACCUCAUGCUGCAGGCCCAAAAUUCCCCAGGGAUCCAUCUGCAGGACUGCCUAUGGGGCCAUCACGCCCUGGCCCUUUUGAUCCUCCAGGUGGCGUGAUCCCUCAUGGACCUAUGAGAGGUCCUGAUGGUCAACUAGUCAGGCCUCCUCCAAGUGCAGUUGAACAAGCUGAUGGUUUGCCAGGCCGAAGAGCUGGAUUUUUUGAAGGUUGGCAGCCAGACAUUCGUCCACCUUUAUCAGCUGAUCGUCCACUAAUGGGCCAAGCUUCUGUAUUUCAGCCUGGCAAGGGACCUGCAUUUCCCCAAGGUUUACCAGAUGAACGAUUCAAGUCUCUUCCUGGUGAGAUGUUCAAAUCUCCACUGGAUGAACCAUUCAAACCUUUGCCAGAUGAACAGUUCAGGUCAUUCCCACAUGAUCCAUCCAAGCGAAAUGUCGAGCGGAAAGAGUUUGAGGAAGACCUUAGAAAGUUUCCUCGCCCUGGUCAUCUUGAUGUUGAAAGGGGACCCCAACAUGAUGAUUACUUUUCAUCUUCACGGCAUCAAGGUGGUCCUAUCAACUUUGAACAUGCAAGGAACAUGGAAGGUGGGCUCCAUGGAUUUGGACGUGACUCUGGGCUUAAAGUUGAUGCUGCUGGAGUUCCACCAAGGCCUUUUGGUUCAUUUCCUAGUAGCAGUGAUAAUUUUGAUAGAAAAGCUGAUCAAGUUGGCUCUAGGUCUGAUUUUCUUCGACCAGUUCAAGAAUUUGGCCGUCCUCACGUUGAUGGUCUUCCAAGAAGCCCAGGAAGGGAAUUUGGUGGUCUAUCCAGGCGUUUCAUUGGUGGAUCACCUCGUCUUGGUUCUGGUGGUCUUUCACGCUCCUUAGAUGAUUUUGGUGGAAAAGAGGCCAUCGGUGAGCGUGCUAAGUCAUAUAAUUUAUCUGAAGAUAUCUCCAAUUUCCAUGGCAGAAAACCACCAAUGGGUGACUUUGAGGGCCGUUUCCCACCGUUCCCUUCAUCUGAUCUUGGUUUUGGUGCUAUCAGUGAGCCGUUUGGUCCUGGCAGUUUGCCUCUUCAGUUGAGGCGUGACAUUGCUGGCCAUCUGCGAAGUGGUGAACCUAUUGGACCACGUUUUGGUGAAUCACCAGGUCUGUUGAAUCCCCAUAGCCAUUUGCGAUUUGGAGAGCCAUUUUAUUCAGCGAAUUUGCCUCCUCAUCUAGGUGUUGGUGAGUCUCUUCGUGGAGAAGGCAACCACUAUAAUCCAUUGAUGCGUCAGCAUGAGAUCGAUCAUCCAAGGAAAAGGAAGCCUAGCAGUAUGGGAUGGUGCCGUAUCUGUCAGAUUGACUGUGAAACUGUGGAGGGUUUGGACCUACACUCCCAAACACGCGAGCAUCAAAAAAUGGCAAUGGAUAUGGUUAUGAGCAUCAAGCAGGAUACUGCCAAGAAACAAAAACUGUCCUCUGAAGACCGUGCACAAGAUGAUACAGUUAGGUCAAAGAAAUCUAGUUUUGAAAGUCGUGGAAAUAAGCAUUGAGAAAAAUGGUACUGUUUCCAAGACUAUACUACGUGGUGUUUGCGUUUCUCUGGAAGCAUCUUCGACCUGGUUGGUCUAGCAUUUUGUGGAGAUGGGGUUGUUGACAUUAAGGUUCCCACGUUUCUUUUGGAUAUUCAAGCUUCUGACAAUUGACACUUCAUUUUGGAAAAGACUAGUAAAGUUAACUGGAGGACUUUGAAGUGAAUCGUUUAAGUUGAAGGUGAUUUUGAAGGAGACUUGAUUGGUUGCUUCUUGGUUGGUUAGCGAUCAAGUGAUGCCAAUGGCUACCUUAGAUUUCAGGUGAUAUGACACCUAAACAUUAUAUGUUGUCCUGUAAAUGCUUUCCAAUUUUAAUUCGAUAAUAUUUGAUUAUAAUUUGCAAUCCAGUAAUUUUAUUUUUCUUCUUUCUAUAUAGUUUAAUAAAUUACCAAUUAAUCUUUCCGCCUGAAGCAUAAAAUCAAUCCAUCGUGUUCCUAUUUAAAUGUCUCCAUGAAGUUGAUGGACUGCAAACAUAAUUAUGUCUAACCAUGGCACCUCCAUCCCUAGAGACUGUUAUUCAUGUUUGUAAUAGCUAAAGUUAUUGGGUCUAUCAGACGCUAGACUGAAAAUUUUCACGUUAUAUUUGGACUUUGUGUUGUGGUUCAUUGUUUUUCGAUGAUGAGGAGAUUUAUGGGUAUCUUGCAGGCACUGAAUGGAAAACUGUAUACUUUCACUCAUAUAUGUGCAAGGCACAUAGGUACAUUUAGAAGCAAUGCCUAGGACUUUUUGUCCUAGUGUCCCAAAUCAAUUUCAGUGUCAACACUAUGUAGAAGAGAAGCAUAGGAUUCAUCAUAUGGGUGUGUUUUUCAGUUGUCAUUCUUUUGUCCUAGUUACACGUUGUUUCAUCUAUUCCUGUCAUCCGAUUGUUGUCCUUGUGCAAUAAACACUAGCAGUAGUUCUAUGAGUUGUGGGAACUUCAUUUGGUUGUCCUCGUGUAAUCAAUACCAAUAGUGAUAGUUGUUUUAUUAUAUCACGCUCGUGAAUUACAUUUAGUCCAUCUCUAUCUCUGGCUCUGUCACAUGGGUGUGGACCCUGGUGCAAGACUUGUUCAGAAAACUUGUGUGCCUGGACAUGGCUGUAUGUAAGACCUAUAUAUAUGCCUGUGUUUUAGGUAUGUUUAUGUAUUAUAUAUAUUUAUCUUGGUUGUCAAGGCGCCCAUGCAGCGCCUGGCGCCUAGGUGGGGCUAGGUGGGCCUAGGCAAAAAGGUGACCUUUUUUUGUGUGUUUUUUUGGUUAUGUUAAGCAUUACAUAAUAAAAUUAUGUAGUUGCUGACUGAACUGUAAGCUUCUAUUCCAAGUAAAACUUGAAAAACUGUUCUGUUCUAAUUGAAUCAAGGGAAAAAGUAAAACAUGAAAAACUGUUCUGUUCUUGUUUUCAUGACAGACUAACAGUACAUUUCCAGCUUCUUUAAACUGUGCUGUUCUGUUUUAGCUGAUGCCUUAGUUUGAUACACAGAAGAAAGCACAUCAUCCUUGUUUACAUACUGGACAAUGCUUGCAUUUCUUAUAGACUAUUUCAGUUAUAGACCUUAUAAACUAUUUCAUGUGAGUCAUUAAUCAUUUCAGUCAAAAAUCAUAUCAAAUCAGUACAUAUAAUAUGCAUUACAAGUUUACUACAGAUUGUGCAUAUAACAUAUAAUAUACAUAUAACACACAAAACACCCUCACAAAUAAGAAAAUAAAUCUGUAUUCAGGUUGCAAAAGUGAGGUCCACGCUUAUGUCUCUGAUUACUAGACAGCACUAAACAGGAGAAACUGGUGGUCUUUUUACCAUAAACCUAGGUUUUGACAUGGGUAAGAAGUCUGGCAUAGGUUCCACAAAAUAUUCUUUAGAGCACAUAAGAUAUAUACAGAAAUUUGUUGGUUUUAUAAAAUAUGUAAUUAACUUCCACUUGAUGAGUUGAUAUAGAAUAUGUAAUUUAACGUGCAUCAAACUGUACUUAAAGAACAGAAAUUAUGUAAUAUAACUGUGUAUAAUAUGAGUAUAUACGGUGUGACAGUGUAUAAUAGAAUUACAAGACUUAAUUUGAAGGGAAGGUGACUUUUCACCUUCCCAUAGACUAGGCGUUCUAGCGCCUAGUCCAGCCUAGAUGCAUCUAGGCGGCAGUCUGACACAUGAUGCCUAAGUGAUGGACUUAGGCGAUGGGUGUGGACUCAUGCCUAGGUGACGCCUAGGCAUGUAUUAGUCCACGCCUUAACAACUAAUAACAUUUUGUACAAAUAAUGUCGUAUAUCAUUGUUUAUGUUAUAAAUAUAUGUUACUGAACAAAAUAUGAUAAAACUAAAAAAUAUGAAUAUGCUCUGUCCAAGCAUUCUCAUAUACCUCCACCUGUGUCCAGCCGUGUUGACAAGUUCUGGUGCCCUUCCAGGCGUCUCCACGUGUCUUUGUCUCUGGGUUAUGUUUUGAUUUCCUUCUUUGCAAUUUUCAGCUGGCUGCCUUUUGAUUUUUUUUUUUUGGGUAAGCGCUAAUUGGAACUCAUUGGCAUUCCAUCUGUUGUUUUUCAUUUUUUAGUAAAUGCCUAAAUGGUUUUUGUUCAAAAUAAGAGGCAUUCUCCUUCCUUAUUCUGGUGGUCUUCUGUGCCAGUAAGAAUGAAUGUUUAUGUGAGCUUUGCCCAUUGUUUUUAUUGGAAAUGACUGGUUAUGUGGGUUCUAGGUCUUUUAGGUACCCCAUUGCCCUUAACCUGCAAUUGGGAAAACAAUUUAAGUCCUAGCCACCUUAGUGGGAGCAUAAAGUGGUUGGGUCUUGAAGCAAAGGGUGUCCUCUGUGGAUUUGAAUAGGACUGGAUAAUCAGAUGGCCAGGUGUGUAAAACUUAUUUUUUCAAUAGUAUGACCAAGUUAUUCAUGGCUGAAGCCUUCUCAUGCCGGAUCAGCCGUCAGGUUGGUCACCUGAGUCAACUUGAGGCAGCUUGGCAUAUGCUUGUGGGGCCUAGCCAGCUGAAUCAGUUGAUAUCUCAGUCUAUGACUCGAUCCCCAGAUUGCAACCUGUUGUUUGUCUCACUUUUGAAUUUAUGAUCUUGCUGUUCCUCUUGAAGAUUUAGAAACAGCUUUGACUCAUUGAUCCAUGUUGUAGACUAAUUUCAUGCAUAAUUGUGUAGGUCAUUUAGGUAGGGUGCUUGUAUGCAAUGUUAUCACUGGCAUAUCUUAUCGCGUAUCGGUCGGGCCGACCUAUACGCCGUAUCGUAACGUAUCACAAAAUUAAUUUUUUAAUUUGUAAAAAAUAUUAAACAAUUAUAAAAAAUACAGAAAAACAGAAAAAUUCUAAAAAAAUCUGAAAAAACAAGCAAAAAUAAGAAAAAAUCAAGAAAAAUGUAUUUAACGGAACAUUCAUCAUUCAUGUAUAUGAAGUAUGAACUAUGAAGUAUGAAUAUGAACAACACAUUCCAAAAUAAGAAAUCAGACAUUCAAAAAGCAAAAUGACAUACUAAGCAGCCGAAGAGUAUUCGAUUGCAUCAUAAUUCACACAAAAUAAGAAAUCAGACAUUCAAAAAGCAAAAUAACAUACUAAGCAGCCGAAGAGUAUUCGAUUACAUCAUAAUUCACACAUUUCUUACCUUCUUGGUGUUAGAAACCAAAGAACCCACUUUCUUCAAGCUUCCCACUGUGCCCUCUACGCGAAAGAAAGCUAUCUCACGGGCAAAACUUGAUGCAAAUGAGGAAAAUCUCUAAGUCUCACGUCUCUUGAAGUGUUUAGAAACAAGAAAAGAGAGAGGGAGAAGAGCGUAUAUACAAGAAGAUGCAAAAAAGGGGACGUCGUCACGUCGAGGCUCCUUUUUUAAAAAUUUCCAUGUAUCGUACGAUACGGGGGUGUAUUGGCCGUAUCGUGCGAUACGGGCCCUGUAUCGCACGAUACGGGCGAUAGGCCUACGAUACACGGCCGUAUCGUGUAUUGUAGGCAUAUCGUAUAGGUCUUUAAGACCUAUACAAUACGUAUCGUACAAUAGGCGUCUGUAUCGUACGAUACGGAUUACAUUGCUUGUAUGUUUUAUGACUAGGCCAGACUGGUGCAAACAUCAAAUUGACAGAAGUUGGGUGGAAGAAUAUGGCGUUACACGUAUAAUCAGAAACAUAUAUAACAUACAGCUACAUUAAAUCUUGCUAAAUGCUUUAUGUAUCAAGUUGUAGGUUGUUAAUUAAACACUAAAAUUCUGAUUAUAUAUGUAUAUAACAAAUAAAGAUGGAAAAAAUAGGUAGUGUAACAAGAAAGGUACUGUGGGUUUCAUCUUGAAAAAUAAUCUAUAUAAAGACACUUAUAACUACCAUUUCAACUUACUGUUAUGUACGUAUCAGUGUGAAGAAUAUCUAUAUAGAAAUGUUUCUAAGUGCCAUGGCAACUUGAGUACUGUGGGUUGAUGUGUCAACUUCUAAACAUAUGAGAGAAAGCUGCAGUGAUAGAUACCCCUUAAAUAUGUUAUGCGGAUUUUGUUUCGGGGACUAUUCAUUGGUCUACUUUGUCGAUUUCUCCACUGAGCAACAUGCUUGUACAAACAGAUGUGCCAUUUGGACAAUGUACAGCUAAGCUAAACAAUCCCAUUUAUGGUUAAGGAGAGAGUUUCAUACAUGUCUUCUAGCUGUCAGGUCACUAUGGUAAUAUUACAAGGUGCAGCUACAUUUAGAUGCUUUAAGUUGAUGCCUUAAUUCACAUUUCAGUGCAGCGAGAUGAGGUCUACAUUCUCAUAUUAUUUUUAAUGGCAUCUGAAGUCUGAAGGUUAGAUAGAUGGCCUGCUAACUUAACUAUGUUCCACGGAUUUUUAUAUUUCUCCUGUCGGCUGAAUGCUGUGUGAAGUCUUGAACAUCGUGUCAAAGAACAUUAAUGAUUAUGCUUGCCAAUCUGAUUAUUGUUGAAUCAUACUUUUUCUUGUAUCUAUUUGCUGUUGGAUGUCAUAAAGAUCUCGUUCCACUGAUUUAGUUGAAGGGUACAUUAUGGUGUUGGAUUUAUGCUUGCAUUUGGUCGAGUUAGAAGGUAUAUUUCAUCCUUUCAGUUUCCAUUUUUUUCCUAAAUCCUCUCUUUAGUUCAUAUUUUGCUCUGCACAACCUUGCAUCCCUUACUUCAAUUAUGAAGGGAAGUUUCUUAUGCAUGUCCAAAUUUCAUAGUUGCUUCAAAUGUUCACAUGGUCACGUGUUCUUUCAUAGAUUAUUUUUGUGAUUGAUUCGUGUAGCACUAAUGGAUUAUAACUUCUAGUUAAUGGAUUAUAAGUUCUAGUUAAGUACAUCUUUGAAUCAAUAGGGCGAUCGCUUUAGAUUGUAUAUACUUGUUCAUCAAGUAGGUUAUGUAAGCAGGCGGGAUUACCAUAUUUGAUGAUAAGGUCCUUUUGCAGUAUAGAGGUAAGACUUCAUGGUGCUGGUAUUAGGAAAAAAUUUUGUAGAAGUAUAGAACUGAAGAAAUGUUGUAUACGGUAUUGGACAAAAUGGUUUAAGCAGUGAAGGUGAAUUAAAUGUACAAAAAUUCAAGUUGGUAUUUUUUUGUUGUAUUUAUAGAACGGAGAAUGGCCUUGUGCAUAUGAGGAUAUAUGAGUUUGUGUGCUGAUGGAAGAUGAGUUUUUAUGAGGUAUAUGGUUGGAGAUAAGAUGGAUCGGAGCAAUUAGUGUAGUUCAAAUCGGCUUUUUUCAUCUAGAGAAAAGGACCUUUGGCAUACAAGUAUCAAUGAUGAGUGCUGAAUACUUUUAACUUUUAAGAUGUUGCUUUAUUCCAUCUUUUAGUUUGUCUCGGUUUCUGCACUGAUGUUAGUUGAAUUUGCAUUUAGUAAGUGAUUGAGGUUAUGUUUGUAUGAACCUUCUGACCGAGUGAGUUUUUCUCUGCAUGGAUGGAAAAACUAGCAGCUGAAAGUGGCUCGAAUUUUUGCCAUGCUUCCUGAUCCUUAGGUUCUUGUACUAUCAGUCUAUCACAGAUUUUUAGUUGGUUAUAUAGGUUUAAAUACUAUCCCAAACCUAAAAGUGCAGUUGAGGCAUCUUAGGUGAAAGUUCGUAAGAAAUUGGAUUCACUUCCUGGGUUUGGAAGUGCAAUUGGCAAAAUUUUAUCUUGUACAGUAUGAUGUUGGAAGUAUGCUUGCAGUGGAAAUGAAUGAUUCCCAUCAUGUCUUUUUGACUUUAUUACAUAUGAUGCAGAAGUAAAUGCUAAGGGUGGUGGUUCUAGUAUCUCUAUGUUAGUCUCUGGGAGUAAUUCUUAAUGUGCAAUAUAGUGCAUUGGAAGUUGUGAUCAGAUUUUUUGAGUUUGAAGGAGCACUCAUCAUUGUAUAUACAUGUUUUUGCCCUUUAAUUUUCCCCCAUGGUGGUAUGGUUCAAUGUUGUCAAUAACUGAUCCCAGGGACAGGAGUUUUCUCUUUAUGGGUCUUCUCAGUUUCUUAUUUGGAGAAAAUAUAUUUUAGACUUUUAGGUUGGACAUGGAUGGACUAUCACUGGAAAACUAUGUUUCAUUUCUGUAUAAUCUAGUUAGGUUGUUGAGGUGGACAUCUGUUUGAUGACAAUCACUAGAUCUGCUUGACCAAAAUAUGUGAAUAAGAGACUGUUGUGAUCUAGCAUUUGUUUCAUCUCCUGGACCUUACACACUUUGAUGUUUCAUAUAGUAAGCUUGAAGUCUGCUGAAGGUGGAUGCUUGUUAAUUCUGUUGAAGUAGCUUAUAAAGCAUUACUGUUUGUAGAUUGAGAAGUAGAUGUCUCAAGGCAUUAUGCAAAAAGUAGAUGCUUGUAGCGGUGUCAGUGUUGCAUAUUGCUGGUCUACUCAUUGUUUUUGGCCAAGUCCUUUUGUCUCUAGUCUUGUGCUAGGCUUGACAAAAACUAUCACAGCAGUAUCAGUUUUUCCUGUUCCACAAAAUUAGUGGCGCCUUUCAGUCUAUGUUCCUGCCCAGUUCAUGAUCUUUCCGAGGAUCUGUUUAGAUAUACUCGAGAAAGUUUUGAAUUUCUACUCUAAUGGCUGUUGCUGGUUAUGAAGUUAGAUCUUAGCUUUGCAGGUUUGGUCUAGAGUUUGACUCAUUUAUCUGACCUCAACUAGAUCUUUCUUAUUGAAGCAUUUCGGAAACAUAUUAUAUAAAACCAUUUUAAUAUCUGAAAAAGGCCUGGGAAACAAGGUGAGUGUCAUUGUGCUUCAUCUCAUCUUGUUUGAGGUUUGGGAGAUGAACUCAGCAAGCCUUGCUGAAAUUUAUUCAUACCCAACCGAGGUCCAAAGCUAAUAUAUACGUGCUUGUGCUACUAGACAUUGACUGUUUUGAAAUUCACGCUUUGAAUUUUAGGAAACUUGUUUGAAGCAUUUAGUGUACAGAUGAGCAACCUCAAAAAAUCUGAUCACAACACUGAGCGUGACAACAUUGUAUGUUUCCUAGGAAUAUCACUUGAAAAGCAACCUUAAGUUUCGUAAACAUAACCCAGCUCAUUAAGGUAAGCAGAAUACAUCUUGAAGUCAUUUAGAAACUAAUCCUGGGAAUUUAGAUGAGAGAUGUAGGAUUACUUAUUAUUUAGUAUCAAUUUAUGUCCUUGUCGGUCAGAUGCUAUGUUAUUGAAUUAAAAGAAACAAUUAAAGAACAAUUCAGCUGUGCUGAAAUCUUGUUUGGUUAUCAGAGGAAAACUGAAAAGAUAUGUAAAUUACAGAGUACCUUUUAUGAACGAAUUAUACCUUGUUAAUUCUGUUGAUGUAGGUUUUGCAAUUAGGAAGUUUAGUGUUACGUUGACAGGAAGCAAAACUUAGAAUGAUGUUUCUGUCUCUCCUAUCUCCAUUUUAUUGCAGAAUUAUAUCUAAAUUUUGCAUCUUGGGCUUUUGUUUUUUGGGGCUUUUUAGUUGGGAUCAGCCUUACGCCUUAGCAGUUCAAGUGGACCUCAAUAUCUGGUUUUUUAGUGUUACAUCGUGGAUUAUGUGAUUGCUGUGAUCAUUUGGUCGUCCAAUAUCUAUCGACAGCUUUGCAGCUUUUGUCUGCUAACAGUUUUCUUUUUAGUGUUUUUCCUAUGAUUUUUUGCAAGGUUUCCUGGGUGGGCUUUUCUUUGUUAAAGGAGCUACUGCUAUCUGUUGAAUAUUCACUAUUUUGUCCAACUCGGCCUUGUGUUUUGAAA